rnacentral:rRNA from 1 species
UUUUCCUACGGGGGGCAGCAGUGAGGAAUAUUGGUCAAUGGGCUUACGCCUGAACCAGCCAAGUCGCGUGAGGGAAGACUGCUCUAUGGGUUGUAAACCUCUUUUGACAGGGAGCAAUUGGCGCUACGUGUAGCGUUAUCGAGAGUACCUGAAGACAAAGCAUCGGCUAACUCCGUGCCAGCAGCCGCGGUAAUACGGAGGAUGCGAGCGUUAUCCGGAUUUAUUGUGUUUAAAGGGUGCGUAGGCGGAAUGCCAAGUCAGCGG